GCUGGAGUGGUGCUCCGGUGAGCUCCGGCAGCACUGCACCCGUUUAGAACCAAGUAAAAUGGACUCGGGGAUCAAGAUGCCCGGAUUUAUGAGACCUGCGGUGAGAGAUUUAUUGGAAGAAAAACCCACAAUUGGAAGCAAACCAUGACUGAAGAUGAAGAUGAAGCAAGUGAACGAGCCCGAGGACUGAGAGAACCGACUGGAGAGAAAUUCUUCUGACUCAGGGUUUCCAUUGAUUCAGUCAAGAGCAAGUCUGACCCACUAUACGUACCCUGUACAUUCUUCACAAGAUUAUUGACGUCGAUGGCAAGUAGCAAUGGGUGUUACCCUGGGGAGUUCCAGGAGGAACGGGCCUUGACUCCAAUAAACAGCCUCUCAUCAUCACAAUCUGC